CAAGUCAGCUAAUUGGCCACCAUGUUAUCAGAAAGUCAGACUAAGAAGAGGGAAGCAAAAGUGCAGGUGGGUGAAAUAAUUGAAGAUACACAUUCAUCUUUGAGAUGAAUGACGAUUUUAACUUUGAACAAUAAAGGGGCCACAAGACAAACAGUGUAAGAAACCACUGGACAAGUCAGUCAAGGAAACAGUGUCCUUUAGAGAAAUAAUAGGAGCCCAACCCUACCAUCUUGCACCAUGGUUUUUAGAACACAACCUUUGCAAUGGAGACUAAGAUCAAGAAAGUAGGAUACAGUUCAUAUCCUCAAAGAUCAAGUGUCAGAUAGCAGCGUAUCAAAGAAUGCAGUCAGGAAACAGGUUAAGACAUGCCACACCACUUAAAGUACAGUACUCUAAAAUAUGAGAUCUUUUACAUGAGAGGUAGGAUACAAUGUUCUGAUACCCUCAAUCACAAAGAAAAUAGAA
rnacentral:lncRNA from 1 species